rnacentral:rRNA from 1 species
GGGGAAUUUUCCGCAAUGGGCGAAAGCCUGACGGAGCAAUACCGCGUGAGGGAGGAGGGCUCUUGGGUUGUAAACCUCUUUUCUCAAGGAAGAACAUAAUGACGGUACUUGAGGAAUAAGCAUCGGCUAACUCCGUGCCAGCAGCCGCGGUAAUACGGAGGAUGCAAGCGUUAUCCGGAAUGAUUGGGCGUAAAGCGUCCGCAGGUGGCUGUGUAAGUCUGCUGUUAAAUAGUGAGGCUCAACCUCAUAAAGGCAGUGGAAACUACAUGGCUAGAGUGCGUUCGGGGCAGAGGGAAUUCCUGGUGUAGCGGUGAAAUGCGUAGAGAUCAGGAAGAACACCGGUGGCGAAAGCGCUCUGCUAGGCCGCAACUGACACUGAGGGACGAAAGCUAGGGGAGCGAAUGGGAUUAGAUACCCCAGUAGUCCUAGCCGUAAACGAUGGAUACUAGGCGUGGCUUGUAUCGACCCGAGCCGUGCCGUAGCUAACGCGUUAAGUAUUCCGCCUGGGGAGUACGCAGGCAACUGUGAAACUCAAAGGAAUUGACGGGGGCCCGCACAAGCGGUGGAGUAUGUGGUUUAAUUCGAUGCAACGCGAAGAACCUUACCAGGACUUGACAUGUCGCGAAUCCCUGCGAAAGUAGGGAGUGCCUUCGGGAGCGCGAACACAGGUGGUGCAUGGCUGUCGUCAGCUCGUGUCGUGAGAUGUUGGGUUAAGUCCCGCAACGAGCGCAACCCUCGUUUUUAGUUGCCAUCAUUAAGUUGGGCACUCUAGAGAGACUGCCGGUGACAAACCGGAGGAAGGUGGGGAUGACGUCAAGUCAGCAUGCCCCUUACGUUCUGGGCUACACACGUACUACAAUGCGACGGACAAAGGGCAGCUACCCAGCGAUGGCAAGCUAAUCUCAUAAACCGUCGCUCAGUUCAGAUCGCAGGCUGCAACUCGCCUGCGUGAAGGAGGAAUCGCUAGUAAUUGCAGGUCAGCAUACUGCAGUGAAUUCGUUCCCGGGCCUUGUACACACCGCCCGUCACACCAUGGAAGCUGGUAGUGCCCGAAGUCAUUACCCCAACCUUCGGGGGGGGGGAUGCCUAAGGCAGGACUGGUGACUGGGGUGAAGUCGUAACAAGGUAGCCGUACCGGAAGGUGUGGCUGGAUCACCUCCUU